rnacentral:rRNA from 1 species
GAUGAACGCUGGCGGCGUGCCUAAUACAUGCAAGUCGAGCGAACGGACGGGAAGCUUGCUUCUCUGAUGUUAGCGGCGGACGGGUGAGUAACACGUGGAUAACCUACCUAUAAGACUGGGAUAACUUCGUGAAACCGGAGCUAAUACCGGAUGAUAUUUUGAACCGCAUGGUUCAAAAGUGAAAGACGGUCUUGCUGUCACUUAUAGAUGGAUCCGCUCUGCAUUAGCUAGUUGGUAAGGUAACGCCUUACCAAGGCACCGAUGCAUAGCCGACCUGAGAGCGUGAUCGGCCACACUGGAACUGAGACACGGUCCAGACUCCUACGGGAGGCAGCAGUAGGGAAUCUUCCGCAAUGGGCGAAAGCCUGACGGAGCAACGCCGCGUGAGUGAUGAAGGUCUUCGGAUCGUAAAACUCUGUUAUUCGGGAAGAACAUAUGUGUAAGUAACUGUGCACAUCUUGACGGUACCUAAUCAGAAAGCCCCGGCUAACUACGUG